rnacentral:tRNA from 1 species
GGACCUGUAGCGCAGUGGUUGACGCGCCCGCCUUCCGAGACGGGAGUACGCCGGUUCGAAUCCGGCCUGGUCCG